GGCGAACGCUGGCGGCGUGCCUAAAACAUGCAAGUCGAGCGGGGGUUGGCCGCGGGGCAACCCGCGGUUUCAGCUCUAGCGGCGAACGGGUGAGUAACACGUGGGCAACCUGCCCCGAAGACGGGGAUAACCUCGGGAAACCGGGGCUAAUACCCGAUACCCUCCCCUGGGGGCAUCCCCGGGAGAGGAAAGGGUUGGGCGCAAGCCCUUCCGCUUCGGGAUGGGCCCGCGGCCUAUCAGCUCGUUGGUGGGGUAACGGCCCACCAAGGCGAUGACG
rnacentral:rRNA from 1 species